AACGAACGCUGGCGGCAGGCCUAACACAUGCAAGUCGAACGAGAAGCCACCUUCGGGUGGUGGACAGUGGCAGACGGGUGAGUAACGCGUGGGAACGUGCCUUUCGGUUCGGGAUAACCCAGGGAAACUUGGGCUAAUACCGGAUACGCCCUCCGGGGAAAGAUUCAUUGCCGAAAGAUCGGCCCGCGUCGGAUUAGCUAGUUGGUGGGGUAAAAGCCUACCAAGGCGACGAUCCGUAGCUGGUCUGAGAGGAUGACCAGCCACACUGGGACUGAGACACGGCCCAGACUCCUACGGGAGGCAGCAGUGGGGAAUAUUGGACAAUGGGCGCAAGCCUGAUCCAGCCAUGCCGCGUGGGUG
rnacentral:rRNA from 1 species